AUACGGAGGAUCCGAGCGUUAUCCGGAUUUAUUGGGUUUAAAGGGUGCGCAGGCGGCCAUUUAAGUCAGCGGUUAAAUCGUGGGGCUCAACCCCAUUCUGCCGUUGAUACUGGGUGGCUUGAUUGCGGUCGAGGUUGGCGGAAUUCGUUGUGUAGCGGUGAAAUGCAUAGAUAUGACGAAGAACACCGAUUGCGUAGGCAGCUGACCAGACCGCAAAUGACGCUCAUGCACGAAAGUGCGGGGAUCGAACAGGACUAGAUACCCUGGUAGUCCGCACAGUAAACGAUGAAUACUUGUUUUCGGCGAUAUAAUGUCGGAGGCAAAGCGAAAGCGAUAAGUAUUCCACCUGGGGAGUACGCCGGCAACGGUGAAACUCAAAGGAAUUGACGGGG
rnacentral:rRNA from 1 species